AUGAAAAUUUGUAAAAAUAUGAUUUUUAGACCCAUAUGAAUAUUGUGACUGAUUGGUAGGCUAAAUGUGAUGUUAUAGAUGAUGAAAAUUGAGACUUGGACCUAGAACGGAAAGAAAUCGAUUUAUGGACGAGUAUGUCCUUUUCACAUUUGUGGUAUCGAGAGUUCCAGGUUAGCUCGGGUUAGAGGCCGUCGGAGAUAUUAUCACCCUAUCGAGUUAACGUUAUCGGAUAAGUAAACUCAAGUGAUUCGAGUCUAUGGCAUGUAUAGGGUUUUAAUGUGAGUAUGUAAUAUUAUGAUUUAGCCAAAGGCAUUGGCUUGUUAUUAAGGUAGUAUUAGUCAUGUAAAUUGGCCUAUGUCGGCUAAUGAAGUUAUGGGCCCAUAUGAUUAUUCUUAUGCAUUUAUGUUAUUAUUUCUUGUGAUGUGGCUUACAUGUAUGCCUAGAGAUUGAAUUGAGAUUCAUUGAUGAGCUAGUAACUAAUGCAGGAUUAAGUGAUUGGUAAAUA